GACGAACCGUGCGAACGUUGUUCGGAAUCACUGGGCUUAAAGGGCGCGUAGGCGGGCUGUCAAGUCUGGGGUGAAAUCCCGCGGCUCAACCGUGGAACUGCCUUAGAUACUGACGGCCUCGAGGAAGGUAGGGGCAUGCGGAACUGUAGGUGGAGCGGUGAAAUGCGUUGAUAUCUACAGGAACUUCGGUGGCGAAAGCGGCGUGCUGGACCUUUUCUGACGCUGAGGCGCGAAAGCUAGGGGAGCAAACGGG
rnacentral:rRNA from 1 species